rnacentral:rRNA from 1 species
UGGGGAAUAUUGCACAAUGGGCGCAAGCCUGAUGCAGCCAUGCCGCGUGUGUGAAGAAGGCCUUCGGGUUGUAAAGCACUUUCAGCGGGGAGGAAGGCGAUAAGGUUAAUAACCUUGUCGAUUGACGUUACCCGCAGAAGAAGCACCGGCUAACUCCGUGCCAGCAGCCGCGGUAAUACGGAGGGUGCAAGCGUUAAUCGGAAUUACUGGGCGUAAAGCGCACGCAGGCGGUCUGUCAAGUCGGAUGUGAAAUCCCCGGGCUCAACCUGGGAACUGCAUUCGAAAAUGGCAGGCUAGAGUCUUGUAGAGGGGGGUAGAAUUCCAGGUGUAGCGGUGAAAUGCGUAGAGAUCUGGAGGAAUACCGGUGGCGAAGGCGGCCCCCUGGACAAAGACUGACGCUCAGGUGCGAAAGCGUGGGGAGCAAACAGG